GCGACCCCAGGUCAGGCGGGACUACCCGCUGAGUUUAAGCAUAUCAAUAAGCGGAGGAAAAGAAACUUACCAGGAUUCCCCUAGUAACGGCGAGCGAACCGGGAAAUGCCCAGCUUGAGAAUCGGAUGCCCCCGGCGUCCGAAUUGUAGUCUGGAGAAGCGUC
rnacentral:rRNA from 1 species